AUGUCUGUGUGCGUGUCUGUGUGCGUGUGUACUGAGCCAUUGGGUGCAGUUACUAUAGCAACCAGGCUCACACCUGCCUGCCUAACGAGCUCUGUCUCUCACUGUGCCAAGAUUCAUCUUAAACACUUCUCUUUCAACUGCUGCUGUGUCCACAGUGUUUGCUCUACAGCCAUCAUUUUACCCUCAAACGAAGCCAUCGUUCUUCUCUUUCCAACAGCAUGUCUUUCAAAGCUCAGAGAUGUAAACCUUUAAAAGUGUGUGGUUCCAAGUGGAGGGAUUCACUUUAGUCAUUCAGUGAUUCAAAGAAUAUGAACUUUUAAUAUUCAUUCAGAUGUUUUCUGACUCUAAAUUUUCUGUUCUCAUUUCUUAGGUUUUCCAAAUUUUAAUUUAAAAACUUUUCAGCUAUUUUCCAACUUCUUCUGUGUGAACAUCAGCUUUCAAAAGUUCUGCACUUUUGUUUUCAGGUUAAAAACUCUGUAUUUUCCAGCUCAUUCAACAUUUUAAUUUUUAACUUAAAAUUCAGCAAUUAAUUCAUUUCAGUGCAUACAUUCAGAUUCAAGCAUUCACACUGCAGUUUCUUCAGAAAAUGCACUUUCUAGUUAUUAUUAUUAUUAUAUCAUAUUCCGUACGUUUUUGUGCAUCUAUCUCCUUCAAACCGUUCAACUUAGAAAAACCAUUCAACACCGUUAGAUUCCUCUUCUUUUGGACAUGACUGCUUGUAUUUUCUCAUUUAUAACAUUUAUAUUUUUAAUUUUAUUCAACUUUUUUCAACAAAAAUUUCCCAUGUAUUUCAAUGGGGAGACCCUUCAAAUUCUCCUUCAACUUACUCCUCUUUAAACUGUAUCUACUUCCACAUACAUUGACAUAGAUCCACCAUUCAAACUUUAAAACGAAGACAAGACAUUCAACUAUUCAACUUGUAUUUAUCUUUUCAAUAUCUAUUAUACUUUUUCUUCAGUUCCAGUUUAAGUUUCAUGAUGUUUUUUCACCCGUUUCAGAGUUUAUAAUGGGUGUGUAUGGGACGGAAUGUUGGGGCUAGAGUGAGACAGCUCAACUGCCAGAGUGAGAGGAGCGAAAAAAUUAAUCUUAAAAUAUUUUUUAAAACUGCUGCUGUGUCCACGGUGUUUGGUCUACAGGUAUGAUUUUACCCUCAAAACGUAGCCAUCGCUGUCCUCUUUCAUCCAAUGUGUUUACUAUUGUACUAGGUGUUAUGGUUCUUUCAUAAAUGUCACCAAUGCACAGCCUCCUCCCUCCAACUCCUCCAUAGACUCUAAUGUUAAAUGGCUCAGAAGGUUCGUUUGAAAACCAGAAGUACAGGCUGUCUUUACACUGUCACCACGUCCAUAUAAUAAACUCCACAAGCAUGAAAACUGAGAAUUAGGUAGACUGGACAUUGCUGUCGCUCACGGUGAAAGAAUUUUGUCAAUACGACCUGUACUUUUCAUUUGGGAGCGAUUUGUUUCGACCUGACUUUUCUGUUCAUUUUAAGCAGCAAAAGUGAGGUGCAUGUCUGUGCGCAUGUGUAUGGAGCCAGUGGGUGCAGUCACUAUAGCAACCAGGCUCACACCUGCCUGCCUAAUGAGCUCUGUCUCUCACUCUGCCAAGAUUCAUCUUAAACACUUCUCUUUCAACUGCUGCUGUGUCCACAGUGUUUGCUCUACAGCCAUCAUUUUACCCUCAAAACGUCGCCAUCGUUGUUCUCUUUCCAACACCGUGUCUUUCAAAGUUCAGACAUUUAAAAUUUUUUAAUCUGUGUGGAUCCAAGUGGAGGGAUCACAUUUUAGUCAUUCAGUGAUUCAAAGAAUAUGAACUUUUAAUAUUCAUUCAGAUGUUUUCAGACUCUAAAUUUUCUUUUCUCAUUUCUAAGGGUGUUCUAAUUUACAUUUAAAACAUUUUCAGCUUUUUCCCAACUUGUUCUUCUGUGUAAACUUCAGCUUUUAGCACAUCAGCACUUUUGUUUUCAGAUUAAAUUCUGUUUCUUUUUAUUAUCUCAUUGAAACUUUUUAACUUAGAAUUCAGCAGUUAAUUCAUUUCAGUGCAUACAUUCAGAUUCAAGCAUUCACACUGCAGUUUCUUCAGAAAAUGCACUUUCUAGUUAUUAUUAUAUAUUCCGUACGUUUUUGUGCAUCUAACUCCUUCAAAACCGUUCAACUUAGAAAAACCAUUCAAACACCGUUAGAUUCCUCUUCUUUUGGACAUGACUGCUUCUACUUUUCUCAUUUAUAACAUUUAUAUUUUUAAAAUUAUUCAACUUUUUUCAACAAAAAUUUCCCAUGUAUUUCAAUGGGGAGACCCUUCAAAUUCUCCUUCAACUUAGUCCUCUUAAAACUGUAUCUACUUUCAUAUACAUUGACGUAGAGCCACCAUUCAAACUUUAAAACGAAGACAAGACAUUCAACUAUUCAACUUGUAUUUAUCUUUUCAAUAUCUAUUAUACUUUUUCUUCAGUUCCAGUUUAAGUUUCAUGAUGUUUUUUCAGCCGUUUCAGAGUUUAUAAUGGGUGUGUAUGGGACGGAAUGUUGGGGCUAGAGUGAGACAGCUCAACUGCUAGAGUGAGAGGAGCAAAAAAAUUCAUCUUAAAAUAUUUUUUAAAACUGCUGCUGUGUCCACGGUGUUUGGUCUACAGGUAUGAUUUUACCCUCAAACGUAGCCAUCGCUGUCCUCUUUCAUCCAAUGUGUUUACUAUUGUACUAGGUGUUAUGGUUCUUUCAUAAAUGUCACCAAUGCACAGCCUCCUCCCUCCAACUCCUCCAUAGACUCUAAUGUUAAAAUGGCUCAGAAGGUUCGUUUGAAAACCAGAAGUACAGGCUGUCUUUACACUGUCACCACGUCCAUAUAAUAAACUCCACAAGCAUGAAAACUGAGAAUUAGGUAGACUGGACAUGGCUGUCGCUCACGGUGAAAGAAUUUUGUCAAUAGGACCUGUACUUUUCAUUUGGGAGCGAUUUGUUUCGGCCUGACUUUUCUGUUCAUUUUAAGCAGCAAAAGUGAGGUGCAUGUCUGUGCGCGUGUGUAUGGAGCCAUUGGGUGCAGUCACUAUAGCAACCAGGCUCACACCUGCCUGCCUAACAAGCUCUCUCUCUCUCACUGUGCCAAGAUUCAUCUUAAACACUUCUCUUUCAACUGCUGCUGUGUCCACAGUGUUUGCUCUACAGCCAUCAUUUUACCCUCAAAACGAAGCCAUCGUUGUUCUCUUUCCAACAGCAUGUCUUUCAAAGCUCAGAGAUGUAAACCUUUAAAAGUGUGUGGAUCCAAGUGGAGGGAUUACACUUUAGUCAUUCAGUGAUUCAAAGAAUAUGAACUUUUAAUAUUCAUUCAGAUGUUUUCUGACUCUAAAUUUUCUGUUCUCAUUUCUUAGGUUUUCCAAAUUUUAAUUUAAAAACUUUUCAGCUAUUUUCCAACUUCUUUUGUGUGAACAUCAGCUUUCAAAAGUUCUGC
rnacentral:lncRNA from 1 species